UAGGGAAUCUUCCACGAUGGGCGAAAGCCUGAUGGAGCAACGCCGCGUGUGUGAUGAAGGCUUUCGGUCGUAAAGCACUGUUGUAUGGGAAGAACAGCUAGAAUAGGAAAUGAUUUUAGUUUGACGGUACCAUACCAGAAAGGGACGGCUAACUACGUGCCAG
rnacentral:rRNA from 1 species